UUUACCAACUGAGCUAUCGGGGACGCCCACAUAUUCUUUGUGGGGAGGGCGGGGUGGUGGGGGGAACUUCCAAGCAUUUAACCUUUGAGGAAAACACACAUGUACACACACACAAAAUUUCUGAGUACCAGAGAUAGAGGGAAAAUUCUGCCCAUCAUAAUUAGUGGAAAAUACAAAGCUACCUCCAGGCGUGAAGAGUUUGUACAGAUUAAGAAAAAUACUUAAGCAUUACAUGUUAUCCAUAGGAGCCCGGUUUUUAAGGAAUUUUAUCAAGAUUCAUUGAGUCAACUAGUCAAAAACAACUACACAAGAGAAAGACAUUAGAAAAGAAAUAGCUUCUUCUUCAGUUAAGGAUGUGGAGUUUAUUUACAAUGUGAAUCAGUGAAAUUUAAUUUUUUUUUUUUAAUUCUUGAAUAAGCAGAGACUUUAACCAAAUAUUUUGGAUUUGUGUUCUAUUCACCAGGCAUCCUCCAAGCGCUGAUCCCUGUAAGUGCCCCGAGAGCAGUCUGCCGGUUACAAAGAAGCCACAAUUAGGGUUCAGAGCUGGAACGGAAACUCAGUGGACUUGGGAAAGCUGAAGUUUUCUUUCUUGUGUUUUUCAAAGACCACAGUUGAUUGAAGACUCUGGUGACUUUCAGCAGCAAAUUUUAGUACAAUUCUAAAUGUUUCUACCAAAGUUCCUUGGUCAGU